CGAGAUUCUUUGCAAACGAACCGUUUUGAUGGAACCUGCGAGAAAAAGGAAACAUUCCCCAGUGUGGGAACAUUUUGCUGUCAUUUCCCCAAAUAAGGUGUCCCUGAUGGUUAAGAUGCAGAAAGAAAAAAACCGGAACCCGUUUAUUGGACCGAAACACACAAAGCA